GACCUCGGAUCAGGUAGGGAUACCCGCUGAACUUAAGCAUAUCAAUAAGCGGAGGAAAAGAAACCAACAGGGAUUGCCCCAGUAACGGCGAGUGAAGCGGCAACAGCUCAAAUUUGAAAUCGGGCCCCUUCGGGGUCCGAGUUGUAAUUUGCAGAGGGUGUUUCGGGCGGCGCGCCGGUCUAAGUCCCUUGGAACGGGGCGUCAUAGAGGGUGAGAAUCCCGUAUGCGACCGGUGACCGCGCCCAUGUGAAACCCCUUCGACGAGUCGAGUUGUUUGGGAAUGCAGCUCAAAAUGGGUGGUAAAUUUCAUCUAAAGCUAAAUACCGGCCAGAGACCGAUAGCGCACAAGUAGAGUGAUCGAAAGAUGAAAAGCACUUUGGAAAGAGAGUCAAAAAAGAUGAAAAGCACUUUGGAAAGAGAGUCAAAAAGUACGUGAAAUUGUUGAAAGGGAAGCGCUUGCAACCAGACCUGCCCGCGGGUGAUCAACCGUCCUUCGGGGCGGUGCACUCGCCCGCGAUCAGGCCAGCAUCGGUUCGGGCGGUCGGAUAAAGGCCUUGGGAACGUAGCUCCUCUCGGGGAGUGUUAUAGCCCUCGGCGCAAUGCGGCCUGCCCGGACCGAGGACCGCGCUUCGGCUAGGAUGCUGGCGUAAUGGUUGUAAGCGGCCCGUCUUGAAACACGGACCAAGGAGUCGACCAACUAUGCGAGUGUUUGGGUGUCAAACCCACACGCGCAAUGAAAGUGAACGGAGGUGGGAACCCUUCCGGGGGCGCACCAUCGACCGAUCCAGAUGUCUUCGGAUGGAUUUGAGUACGAGCAUAGCUGGUCGGACCCGAAAGAUGAUGAACUAUGCCUGAAUAGGGUGAAGCCAGAGGAAACUCUGGUGGAGGCUCGCAGCGGUUCUGACGUGCAAAUCGAUCGUCAAAUUUGGGCAUAGGGGCGAAAGACUAAUCGAAUCAUCUAGUAGCUGGUUCC
rnacentral:rRNA from 1 species